UACGUAGGUGGCAAGCGUUGCUCGGAAUCACUGGGCGUAAAGCGCACGUAGGCGGACUCUUAAGUCGGUGGUGAAAUCCUGGAGCUCAACUCCAGAACUGCCUUCGAUACUGAGAGUCUCGAGUCCGGGAGAGGUGAGUGGAACUGCGAGUGUAGAGGUGAAAUUCGUAGAUAUUCGCAAGAACACCAGUGGCGAAGGCGGCUCACUGGCCCGGUACUGACGCUGAGGUGCGAAAGCGUGGGGAGCAAACAGG
rnacentral:rRNA from 1 species